UCCACUUAGUUCAGUGGUUUAGAGCUGCCCGAAGCACGGUUUGACCACCGCGGGAGACCCUGGGUUCGAUUCCCGGGAGUGGCA